GACCCUUCGGGAGCCUAUACAGGUGUUGCAUGGCUGUCGUCAGCUCGUGUCGUGAGAUGUUCGGUUAAGUCCGCUAACGAGCGCAACCCUCGUCGUAUGUUAUAUGUGUCAUACGAGACUGCCGGUAAAAAGCCGGAGGAAGGUGAGGAUGAUGUCAAGUCAGCAUGACCUUUAUAUCCAGGGCUACACACACGCUACAAUGGUCUGUACAAUGGGUAGCCAAGCCGCGAGGCGGAGCCAAUCCUGAAAGCAGGCCUCAGUUCAGAUUGCAGUCUGCAACUCGACUGCACUGAAGCCGGAGUUGCUAGUAACCGCAGGUCAGCAAUACUGCGGUGAAUACGUUCCCGGGUCUU
rnacentral:rRNA from 1 species